rnacentral:rRNA from 1 species
CUUGCUUUCUUUGCUGGCGACCGGCGCACGGGUGAGUAACACGUAUCCAACCUGCCCUUUACUCGGGGAUAGCCUUUCGAAAGAAAGAUUAAUACCCGAUAGCAUAAUGAUUCCGCAUGGUUUCAUUAUUAAAGGAUUCCGGUAAAGGAUGGGGAUGCGUUCCAUUAGGUUGUUGGUGAGGUAACGGCCCACCAAGCCUUCGAUGGAUAGGGGUUCUGAGAGGAAGGUCCCCCACAUUGGAACCGAGACACGGUCCAA